rfam:Gossypium hirsutum cultivar TM-1 chromosome 17, whole genome shotgun sequence
AAGCUAUGCGUCGAGCAUUUUCUCAGUAUCUCCUUGAACCACUCACAUGCUUUAUAUAAUGUUUCAUCUUCUAAUUGUCUAAACGAUGUAAUGUCAUUCCUCAACUU